rnacentral:misc_RNA from 1 species
CCGUGCAUCUUUGUAUUAUUGUUUUAAUUGCCGAGAACACAGCGUAUUUGUAUGAAGUUUCUGAAAAAGAAAUUCGCAUCGCAUAACCGCUGACGCAAGUCAGUACAGGUUAAGUUACAAAGGGCGCACGGUGGAUGCCUUGGCACUAGGAGCCGAUGAAGGACGGAACUAAUACCGAUAUGCUUCGGGGAGCUAUAAGUAAGCUUUGAUCCGGAGAUUUCCGAAUGGGGGAACCCAGUACACAUCAGUGUAUUGCUUGUCAGUGAAUAAUAGCUGGCC